rnacentral:rRNA from 1 species
GUAAGCUACUAAGAGCGAAUGGUGGAUGCCUUGACUGGUAAAGGCGAUGAAGGACGUACUAGACUGCGAUAAGCUACGGGGAGCUGUCAAGAAGCUUUGAUCCGUAGAUUUCCGAAUGGGGCAACCCAAUGUAUAGAGAUAUACAUUACCUAUAUAGGAGCGAACGAGGGGAAUUGAAACAUCUUAGUACCCUCAGGAAAAGAAAUCAAUAGAGAUUGCGUCAGUAGCGGCGAGCGAAAGCGCAAGAGGGCAAACCCAGUGCUUGCACUGGGGGUUGUAGGACUGCAAUGUGCAAGAGGUAAGUUUAGCAGAACAUUCUGGAAAGUAUAACCAUAGAGGGUGAUAGUCCCGUAUGCGAAAAACAAACCUUAGCUAGCAGUAUCCUGAGUAGGGCGGGACACGAGGAAUCCUGUCUGAAUCCGGGUCGACCACGAUCCAACCCUAAAUACUAAUACCAGAUCGAUAGUGCACAAGUACCGUGAGGGAAAGGUGAAAAGAACUGAGGUGAUCAGAGUGAAAUAGAACCUGAAACCAUUUGCUUACAAUCAUUCAGAGCCCUAUGUAGCAAUACAGGGUGAUGGACUGCCUUUUGCAUAAUGAGCCUGCGAGUUGUGGUGUCUGGCAAGGUUAAGCAAACGCGAAGCCGUAGCGAAAGCGAGUCUGAAUAGGGCGCUUAGUCAGAUGCUGCAGACCCGAAACGAAGUGAUCUAUCCAUGAGCAAGUUGAAGCUAGUGUAAGAACUAGUGGAGGACUGAACCCAUAGGCGUUGAAAAGCCCCGGGAUGACUUGUGGAUAGGGGUGAAAGGCCAAUCAAACUUCGUGAUAGCUGGUUCUCUCCGAAAUAUAUUUAGGUAUAGCGUUGUGUCGUAAUAUAAGGGGUAGAGCACUGAAUGGGCUAGGGCAUACACCAAUGUACCAAACCCUAUCAAACUCCGAAUACCUUAUAUGUAAUCACAGCAGUCAGGCGGCGAGUGAUAAAAUCCGUCGUCAAGAGGGAAACAACCCAGACUACCAGCUAAGGUCCCUAAAUCUUACUUAAGUGGAAAACGAUGUGAAGUUACUUAAACAACCAGGAGGUUGGCUUAGAAGCAGCCAUCCUUUAAAGAAAGCGUAAUAGCUCACUGGUCUAGUGAUUUUGCGCGGAAAAUAUAACGGGGCUAAAGUAAGUACCGAAGCUGUAGACUUGCACACAACUUAGAUUAUUUAAGUUUAGAAUAUGAGAAACUAAGUUAUAUGUUUAGUUAUAUUUUUACUGAUUUUUAUAGAGUAAAGAUAGAAAUAAAACUUAGUAAAAUCAGUAAAAAUAUUCUUAGACUAAAGUUAAGUAGUUUAAGUUGUGUGCAAGUGGUAGGAGAGCGUUCUAUUUGCGUCGAAGGUAUACCGGUAAGGAGUGCUGGAGCGAAUAGAAGUGAGCAUGCAGGCAUGAGUAGCGAUAAUUAAUGUGAGAAUCAUUAACGCCGUAAACCCAAGGUUUCCUACGCGAUGCUCGUCAUCGUAGGGUUAGUCGGGUCCUAAGUCGAGUCCGAAAGGGGUAGACGAUGGCAAAUUGGUUAAUAUUCCAAUACCAACAUUAGUGUGCGAUGGAAGGACGCUUAGGGCUAAGGGGGCUAGCGGAUGGAAGUGCUAGUCUAAGGUCGUAGGAGGUUAUACAGGCAAAUCCGUAUAACAAUACUCCGAGAACUGAAAGGCUUUUUGAAGUCUUCGGAUGGAUAGAAGAACCCCUGAUGCCGUCGAGCCAAGAAAAGUUUCUAAGUUUAGCUAAUGUUGCCCGUACCGUAAACCGACACAGGUGGGUGGGAUGAGUAUUCUAAGGCGCGUGGAAGAACUCUCUUUAAGGAACUCUGCAAAAUAGCACCGUAUCUUCGGUAUAAGGUGUGGUUAGCUUUGUAUUAGGAUUUACUCCGAAAGCAAGGAAACUUACAACAAAGAGUCCCUCCCGACUGUUUACCAAAAACACAGCACUCUGCUAACUCGUAAGAGGAUGUAUAGGGUGUGACGCCUGCCCGGUGCUCGAAGGUUAAUUGAUGGGGUUAGCAUUAGCGAAGCUCUUGAUCGAAGCCCGAGUAAACGGCGGCCGUAACUAUAACGGUCCUAAGGUAGCGAAAUUCCUUGUCGGUUAAAUACCGACCUGCAUGAAUGGCGUAACGAGAUGGGAGCUGUCUCAAAGAGGGAUCCAGUGAAAUUGUAGUGGAGGUGAAAAUUCCUCCUACCCGCGGCAAGACGGAAAGACCCCGUGGACCUUUACUACAGCUUGACACUGCUACUUGGAUAAGAAUGUGCAGGAUAGGUGGGAGGCUUUGAGUAUAUGACGCCAGUUGUAUAUGAGCCAUUGUUGAGAUACCACUCUUUCUUAUUUGGGUAGCUAACCAGCUUGAGUUAUCCUCAAGUGGGACAAUGUCUGGUGGGUAGUUUGACUGGGGCGGUCGCCUCCCAAAUAAUAACGGAGGCUUACAAAGGUUGGCUCAGAACGGUUGGAAAUCGUUCGUAGAGUAUAAAGGUAUAAGCCAGCUUAACUGCAAGACAUACAAGUCAAGCAGAGACGAAAGUCGGUCUUAGUGAUCCGGUGGUUCUGUGUGGAAGGGCCAUCGCUCAAAGGAUAAAAGGUACCCCGGGGAUAACAGGCUGAUCUCCCCCAAGAGCUCACAUCGACGGGGAGGUUUGGCACCUCGAUGUCGGCUCAUCGCAUCCUGGGGCUGGAGCAGGUCCCAAGGGUAUGGCUGUUCGCCAUUUAAAGCGGUACGCGAGCUGGGUUCAGAACGUCGUGAGACAGUUCGGUCCCUAUCUGCCGUGGGCGUAAGAAGAUUGAAGAGAUUUGACCCUAGUACGAGAGGACCGGGUUGAACAAACCACUGGUGUAGCUGUUGUUCUGCCAAGAGCAUCGCAGCGUAGCUAAGUUUGGAAAGGAUAAACGCUGAAAGCAUCUAAGCGUGAAGCCAACUCUAAGAUGAAUCUUCUCUAAGCUCUCUAGAAGACUACUAGUUUGAUAGGCUGGGUGUGUAAUGGAUGAAAGUCCUUUAGCUGACCAGUACUAAUAGAGCGUUUGGCUUAUCUUU